GAUGAACGCUGGCGGCGUGCCUAAUACAUGCAAGUCGAGCGAACAGAUGAGGAGCUUGCUCCUCUGACGUUAGCGGCGGACGGGUGAGUAACACGUGUAUCACCUACCUAUAAGACUGGGAUAACUUCGGGAAACCGGAGCUAAUACCGUAUAAUAUCUUGAACCGCGUGGUUCAAUAGUGAAAGACGGUUUUGCUGUCACUUAUAGAUGGUUCCGCGCCGCAUUAGCUAGUUGGUAAGGUAACGGCUUACCAAGGCAACGAUGCGUAGCCGAACUGAGAGGGUGGUCGGCCACACGGGAACUGAGACACGGUCCAGACUCCUACGGGAGGCAGCAGUAGGGAAUCUUCGGCAAUGGGCGAAAGCCUGACGGAGCAACGCCGCGUGAGUGAUGAAGGUCUUCGGAUCGUAAAACUCUGUUAUUAGGGAAGAACAAAUGUGUAAGUAACUAUGCACGUCUUGACGGUACCUGAUCAGAAAGCCACGGCUAACUACGUG
rnacentral:rRNA from 1 species